GACAAUACAAUGUUUUUUUUUAUUACAAUUUACCGCAGCGUUAUUUCAAUUUGCUGCAGUUUUUAUUACAACUUACCGCAGUUUAUUAAAUUU